GAUGAACGCUGGCGGCGUGCCUAAUACAUGCAAGUCGAGCGAACGGACGAGAAGCUUGCUUCUCUGAUGUUAGCGGCGGACGGGUGAGUAACACGUGGAUAACCUACCUAUAAGACUGGGAUAACUUCGGGAAACCGGAGCUAAUACCGGAUGAUAUUUUGAACCGCAUGGUUCAAAAGUGAAAGACGGUCUUGCUGUCACUUAUAGAUGGAUCCGCGCUGCAUUAGCUAGUUGGUAAGGUAACGGCUUACCAAGGCAACGAUGCAUAGCCGACCUGAGAGGGUGAUCGGCCACACUGGAACUGAGCCACGGUCCAGACUCCUACGGGAGGCAGCAGUAGGGAAUCUUCCACAAUGGGCGAAAGCCUGACGGAGCAACGCCGCGUGAGCGAUGAAGGUCUUCGGAUCGUAAAACUCUGUUAUUAGGGAAGAACAUAUGUGUAAGUAACUGUGCACAUCUUGACGGUACCUAAUCAGAAAGCCACGGCUAACUACGUG
rnacentral:rRNA from 1 species